GAUGAACGCUGGCGGCGUGCCUAAUACAUGCAAGUCGAGCGAACGGACGAGAAGCUUGCUUCUCUGAUGUUAGCGGCGGACGGGUGAGUAACACGUGGAUAACCUACCUAUAAGACUGGGAUAACUUCGGGAAACCGGAGCUAAUACCGGAUAAUAUUUUGAACCGCAUGGUUCAAAAGUGAAAGACGGUCUUGCUGUCACUUAUAGAUGGAUCCGCGCUGCAUUAGCUAGUUGGUAAGGUAACGGCUUACCAAGGCAACGAUGCAUAGCCGACCUGAGAGGGUGAUCGGCCACACUGGGACUGAGACACGGUCCAGACUCCUACGGGAGGCAGCAGUAGGGAAUCUUCCGCAAUGGGCGAAAGCCUGACGGAGCAACGCCGCGUGAGUGAUGAAGGUCUUCGGAUCGUAAAACUCUGUUAUUAGGGAAGAACAUAUGUGUAAGUAACUGUGCACAUCUUGACGGUACCUAAUCAGAAAGCCACGGCGAACUACGU
rnacentral:rRNA from 1 species